GACGAACGCUGGCGGCGUGCUUAACACAUGCAAGUCGAACGGGCCUGUCUUCUUUUUUGGGGGUGGGUUGAGUGGCGAGCGGGUGAGUAUCACGUGAGUAACCUGCCCUUCGGUCCUGGAUAACCGCUUGAAAGGGCGGCUAAUACGGGGUGGUCCGGUUGGUCCGCAUGGGCUGGUCGGGAUAGAUUCACUGUUUUUGGUGUUUCGGCGGGGGAUGGGCUCGCGGCCUAUCAGCUUGUUGGUGGGGUGAUGGCCUACCAAGGCGGUGACGGGUAGCCGGCCUGAGAGGGUGGGCGGCCACACUGGGACUGAGAUACGGCCCAGACUCCUGCGGGAGGCAGCAGUGGGGGGUAUUGCACAAUGGGCGGAAGCCUGAUGCAGCGACGUCGCGUGAGGGAUGGAGGCCUUCGGGUUGUGAACCUCUGUUUCCGGUGGUGAAGGCCCUGUCCGUGUGGUGGGGUUGACGGUAGCCGGGGAUGAAGCGCCGGCUAACUACGUG
rnacentral:rRNA from 1 species